AUUGAACGCUGGCGGCAGGCCUAACACAUGCAAGUCGGACGGUAGCACAGAGGAGCUUGCUCCUCGGGUGACGAGUGGCGGACGGGUGAGUAAUGUCUGGGGAUCUGCCCGAUAGAGGGGGAUAACCACUGGAAACGGUGGCUAAUACCGCAUAACGUCGCAAGACCAAAGGGGGGGACCUUCGGGCCUCUCACUAUCGGAUGAACCCAGAUGGGAUUAGCUAGUAGGCGGGGUAACGGCCCACCUAGGCGACGAUCCCUAGCUGGUCUGAGGGGAGGACCAGCCACACUGGAACUGAGACACGGCCCAGACUCCUACGGGAGGCAGCAGUGGGGAAUAUUGCACCAUGGGCGCAAGCCUGAUGCAGCCAUGCCGCGUGUAUGAAGAAGGCCUUCGGGUUGUAAAGUACUUUCAGCGGGGAGGAAGGCGAUGUGGUUAAUAACCGCGUCGAUUGACGUUACCCGCAGAAGAAGCACCGGCUAACUCCGUGCCAGCCGCCGCAGUAA
rnacentral:rRNA from 1 species